rnacentral:rRNA from 1 species
UACGGAGGGGGCAAGCGUUGUUCGGAAUUACUGGGCGUAAAGCGCGCGUAGGCGGUUACUUAAGUCGGAUGUGAAAGCCCUCGGCUUAACUGAGGAAGUGCACCCGAAACUGAGUAGCUAGAGUACGAAAGAGGGUCGCGGAAUUCCCGGUGUAGAGGUGAAAUUCGUAGAUAUCGGGAGGAACACCGGUGGCGAAGGCGGCGACCUGGGUCGAGACUGACGCUGAGGCGCGAAAGCGUGGGGAGCAAACAGG